UCGACGCUCGUUUUCUGCAAUGUGAUGACGUCAUGUAAGUCGCUAGCGACGUGAAAUGUAGUUCGAUUUUUCCAACUACAAGCGAUAUUAGCGAGCGAUAAAGAUUUGAAUGGAUAUCGAAAUGUCUCGUGUUCAAACGUGUGGAUUAUGUGAAAUCAUAUGUAAUGAGGACGAAGUACCCAGCCAUGAGUGUCUUCAAGGAUAUUCUAAUUUCAUUACAGAUAAUAAUUUGUACUUUUACCCUGUAUUAGACGAUGGAGAAACUAUUGUUAGAAGAAGCUUGACACAGGACGCUGAAACAAUAGCAUCUGUACCUUUUUAUGGU